ACAUAUUUCUUCUGUUCACUGUCAAGAAACUGCCUCCCUUCCUGGUUCUUGAAGGCAUGGCUCCCCCAGGCAGAUAAAAGCUUAAUGGAGUUUUGCAACAUGAAAGUCACUUGGAGGGAAUAGCCUUGAACGGCCUGCGUCAAGGAGAAAGGCAAGUGGGACAUGGGGACGACGAAGGUGCCCUAAAUAAUUUCACGGCGCAGGCAGCGUUCGCUGCCACCAAGGCAGGGAGGAAGGACCAGGAAAGAGAGAUCGUGGUUUUCGUGGAAAAAUGGAGACUACCCUGAAGCAUUUGGGUAGAUGUCCUGAGAAGUGGGUGCAACCAGAAGAUGGGACACUGGGGCUCCGUGCCAGGAGGGGCUGAGCUGGGUCCGGGUCCACUGCUGGGCAGGCCUGGGCCACAGAUGGGGGCAGCUGCCAUGCUGACCACUUCACUGCAGGCCCUGCCAAGCCCUGUUCUGGAGGGGCCUCACUCCACCCCAGCUCUACUGUCCUGGAAAGGAGGCCCCCCGAGGUCGCUGGCCAAACGGCAGGGUGGAUUUUCCAUGUGGGGAGCCAAACCAAAGCUCUGGGCUCCAUUUUCUUGCAAAAGUAAAACAGAAAAUCUGGAACCCAUCAGCUGUCAGUGGGGAUGGAGGGGGCAAGGGCCCCUCGGCUGAGGAGACCAAGAUGGACAAAGUAGCCAAGAGCCUCAAGGGACGUCCCUCGGCUUCUACAAGAACACACACUGAGUUGGCCUCACUCCAGCAUGACUCACUUGGGCUCGUCUUCAUGAGGCAAUUGAGAACAAGAGGCCCAGAGAGGGGAGGUGCCCCGGGCCAGCGCGCUCGUGCUGGAGUCAAAGCGGCUGUCUGCUUGCCAGCCUUCUAGUCCGGGGCCACCUCAGCAAACCCUUCAAAAGAAACAAGGCCGUACUCCGUGUGAACUGGGAGGAAACCGAAGGCAGCUUUGAUAUGUCGACUUGGGAACAAGCUCGCCACAGCGGAUCACGGCCAUCGCUUCUGCCUGAGCAAAGGACUUGAAACAAUGCUUUCUGGGCACGCCUCCUAAUGUGCUGGGUGUUUAUGAUUUUUUUAAGGACCUCAUCAAAGACAAUGCCAUAAUGAUGUUUCUAACUUAACAGCCGUGCUUUAGAAGGGGUGGAUUAUUCACAUCAGAGAUGAAGCAGGGGCUCUGAAAACGGGGUCAGCUGAAGCAGUCCCUUUCCUUGGGACUAUUUUUAUCUUCUUUCAGUCUUUCAUCUGGGGAGACGCGCUGUUCGGAAAGUGUGGGGAGCCCAUUGCAAGGAGCCCAAGUUGGCAGAAUGUCAAGGCUGAAGCACUAGGGCACCUCGGGGCUUCUUCCUAGAGUGCGAAACCGAGGAAGCUCGAGGAAGUGUGGACAGCGGGGCAGUGGCAGUGUAAUGAGGACGGUCGAGGGGUUCUGGGGAACUCCCCGGUUUUUAGUCUUGGAGGUCUCCCGGAGGCCUGGUCCCCAUCGUGAGCCUGGAGUACAUGGAAGCCAUCUUGGUCUUUCCUUUGUUAGCAUCGGCUCUUCCCGGCAUUCCAUGUAUCUGGAAUGAUGUGUGGAACCCCUGGGAAAGGAUAUGUGGGUUCCGUGUGGGGUGCCUGGAGCAGCCUGCCCUGAGGGAGAAGGGGCUUUGGUCAUUGCAAAGCUUCUCAGGGUCAAGUGGGAACCAGCAGUGUCCCAAACUCUGCAGGCCAUCCCAGUCCAAUGCUGUCAAACUCCUUCAUGCCUGUUUGCUUUAAAAAGCACCCUAGACCCGUGCUGUCCAGUCACAGCAGCCGUGAGCCCCAUGGGACUAUCGAGCACUUGAAAUGUGGUCGCUCCAAACUGAGAUGUGCUGCGAGUGGAACAGUGCACUGGGUUUCAAAGAAGGACGCAAAAUCUCUCGUUAAUAAUUUUUUUAUAUUGAUCACAUGUUGAGAUGAUAA